rnacentral:rRNA from 1 species
CCCGCUCAACCCAAAGAGAGAUCCAAAGAGAUCCUCAAUGUUGCCGACAAACCCAGGCCUACGCACCAGAGGAAGACGAGCAGAGAGGGAGACACGGAGGGCAGAGUAGGGUGAAGGGGCCAAGGGGGCGGACGUAGAGGAGCGGAACGGGAGUAGGCGAGCGGGCGGUAACAACGAGGAGUAGCGAGCGGCAACAGCCAGGAGCAGACGAGCAGUGCGGGAGCAGGCGAACAAAGGCAGUACCGAGGAGCGCGACAACAACAAGGCAAACCCAUCCCCGACGACGCAGACCAAACGAGAGGCGAACACGCAGACGAAUCAGGAAGAAACACUCCAGGAGGAAAGGCUGCAGACCGACGGGCUAGUUGACUAGAGGAGCGAGGGCCAAGCACCUUCCGGACGACGUCAAACCAAGUGGACUGCGGGGUGCGGAACAGAAAGUAGAACGGUUCUAGCUUCUGGACCGCUUACCUACUAUAGCUGUAACCACACCAGACACUGCUCCCUAGGGGUCCAAGUUGCAACAGUUCCUGUUCUUGUGGACAUGGGUUCCUUCUACUGAUGGACUAUCAUUAAGGAAUACGGGUGUAUAAACUGGAAUACGAUUUUCGAAAUUUCAACGGGGGACGUUCAAUGAUAGUGUUCUAUACAGACCCGCCGUUCUUAGCACACUGCCAAUGAAAGUUAAGAAGGAGCGUUAACCAACUACCAAACGAACAAGGCUGGAGUUAUAGCCCACGUUAAAAUCUACCGAUACUUCUACGUCUUCUGUCACGACGAUAGCGUCGAUAAUCCAUGUACCUUUUACGUAUACCGUCUCUUUACUCUCUGAUGGUGAUGUGGGUACAGUUCUCCGAUCUUUUAGUUCAGUUCGUAGACCAGUCUACCAAUCAUCAUCGCUUAUUCUGUUAGUUCUUCUAUGCGUUUCCCACCAUGAUGCGGCAGUCUAUAUACUCAAGUAUAAGAUGAGUUUAUGUUUUGUGUUGCUGACGAGCUGUGAACUCACCUAUCCUAUUGUGGUUUCCCCAAUACUUUCGUCGUGAACGUUCGUAACUUUUUGAUUGUGCCUCCGACGCGAUAUAACCAUGCUUCAAACUUGUCGCGGACCUCUGAUGUUCUCUAUCGAAAACCAUUUGAAGCCAGCUAUACGCGAGUGGUCCUACGAGGAUUCCAAUGAUCUUGUCGAUGGAAAACAAAGUAUAGUUCUUUGAACCAGAUAAACAGUAAAACCUCGUGAGAUUCAUUCUAUACAUAUCGGACAUCGGAAGGUAACGACGGAGAAACCAAUUUUCGUCACAUAGUUGAAAUUUAAGACGAAUCUGACAACACACCACGUGAAGACUUGAUUAUAUACGAAAACGGAAGUUCACGUGCAGGUUUCCGGAAACGUAUUAACAGAUAGUCAUAGUG